GUGGCGGCUCAGCCACGAGGUGCCCCGACGCCCCGGUCACGACCGGACGCCGAGGGGAGAAUCUGGGAAGCCGGUGAGAGUCCGGCACAGGCCCGCUGCGGUGACCUGGACACGCGAUCCGGCGUGCUCGAGGAAGUCCGAAGACCGGCCUCGCGGCGUCCAUCCGAU
rnacentral:ncRNA from 1 species